rnacentral:rRNA from 2 species
AAGACCUAGUUAAUAGGUAUGCUUUAGGAGGGGCUUGCGCCAUAUUAGUUAGUUGGUAGGGUAAUGGCCUACCAAGACGAUGAUGUGUAGCUGGACUGAGAGGUUGAACAGCCACAUUGGGACUGAGACACGGCCCAAACUCCUACGGGAGGCAGCAGUAGGGAAUUUUCGGCAAUGGAGGAAACUCUGACCGAGCAACGCCGCGUGAAUGACGAAGUACUUCGGUAUGUAAAGUUCUUUUAUCGAGGAAGAAAAGCAAAUGGCGAACCAUUUGUUUGCCGGUACUUGAUGAAUAAGCCCCGGCUAAUUAUGUGCCAGCAGCCGCGGUAAGACAUAAGGGGCAAGUGUUAUCCGGAAUUAUUGGGCGUAAAGGGUGCGUAGGCGGUCUAGUAAGUCAGUGGUGUAAUGUCAACGCUUAACGUUGUCCGGCUAUUGAAACUGCUAAACUUGAGUUAGAUAGAGGCGAGUGGAAUUCCAUGUGUAGCGGUAAAAUGCGUAAAUAUAUGGAGGAACACCAGAGGCGUAGGCGGCUCGCUGGGUCUUAACUGACGCUGAGGCACGAAAGCGUGGGGAGCAAACAGGAUUAGAUACCCUGGUAGUCCACGCCGUAAACGAUGAGUACUAAGUGUCGGGUUAAACCGGUACUGAAGUUAACACAUUAAGUACUCCGCCUGAGUAGUACGUACGCAAGUAUGAAACUUAAAGGAAUUGACGGGACUCCGCACAAGCGGUGGAUCAUGUUGUUUAAUUCGAAGAUACCCGAAAAACCUUACCAGGUCUUGACAUGUUUUUGCAAAAUGAUAGUAAUAUCGUGGAGGUUACCAGAAACACAGGUGGUGCAUGGUUGUCGUCAGCUCGUGUCGUGAGAUGUUAGGUUAAGUCCUAAAACGAGCGAAACCCUUAUCGUUAGUUGCCAGCACGUUAUGGUGGGGACUUUAACGAGACUGCCAAUGAUAAAUUGGAGGAAGGUGAGGAUCACGUCAAAUCAGCAUGCCCCUUAUGACCUGGGCUACAAACGUGAUACAAUGGCUGUUACAAAGGGUAGCUGAAACGCAAGUUCUUGGCCAAUCCCCAAAAACAGUCCCAGUCCGGAUUGAAGUCUGCAACUCGACUUCAUGAAGUUGGAAUCGCUAGUAAUCGCGA